rnacentral:rRNA from 1 species
CGUGGCGGCGUGCCUAACACAUGCAAGUCGUACGAGAAAGUUGGCUUCGGCCGAUGAGUAAAGUGGCGCACGGGUGAGUAAUGCGUGGAUAAUCUGCCCUUUAGUUGGGAAUAACGUACCGAAAGGUGCGCUAAUACCUGAUAAUACUGCAUAACUACUGUUGUGUAGUCAAAGAAGGCCUCUGUUUACAAGCUUUUGCUGAAGGAUGAGUCCGCGUACCAUUAGCUGGUUGGUGGGGUAAUGGCCUACCAAGGCUACGAUGGUUAGCUGGUCUGAGAGGAUGAUCAGCCACACUGGAACUGAGACACGGUCCAGACUCCUACGGGAGGCAGCAGUGAGGAAUAUUGCGCAAUGGGGGCAACCCUGACGCAGCAACGCCGCGUGAGUGAGGAAGGUUUUCGGACCGUAAAGCUCUGUCGAGCGGGAAGAAAUGUAUCAUGGCUAAUAUCCAUGAUACUUGACGGUACCGCUAAAGGAAGCACCGGCUAACUCCGUG